rnacentral:rRNA from 1 species
CCUACGGGAGGCAGCAGUGAGGAAUAUUGGUCAAUGGGCGCGAGCCUGAACCAGCCAAGUAGCGUGAGGGAUGACUGCCCUACGGGUUGUAAGCUUCUUUUGUAAAGGAGUAAAGUGAGGCACGUGUGCCUUUUUGUAUGUACUUUAUGAAUAAGGCUCGGCUAACUCCGUGCCAGCAGCCGCGGUAAUACGGAGGAUCCGAGCGUUAUCCGGAUUUAGUGGGUUUAAAGGGAGCGUAGAUGGGUUGUUAAGUCAGUUGUGAAAGUUUGCGGCUCAACCGUAAAAGUGCAAUUGAUACUGGGAGGCUUGAGUACAGUUGAGGUAGGCGGAAUUCGUGGUGUAGCGGUGAAAUGCUUAGAUAUUACGAAGAACUCCGAUUGCGAAGGCAGCUUACUAAACUGCCACUGACAUUGAUGCUCGAAAGUGUGGGGAUCAAACAGGAUUAGAUACCCCGGUAGUC